rnacentral:rRNA from 1 species
GACGAACGCUGGCGGCGUGCUUAACACAUGCAAGUCGAACGGAAAGGCCCUGCUUUUGUGGGGUGCUCGAGUGGCGAACGGGUGAGUAACACGUGAGUAACCUGCCCUUGACUUUGGGAUAACUUCAGGAAACUGGGGCUAAUACCGGAUAGGAGCUCCUGCUGCAUGGUGGGGGUUGGAAAGUUUCGGCGGUUGGAGAUGGACUCGCGGCUUAUCAGCUUGUUGGUGGGGUAGUGGCUUACCAAGGCUUUGACGGGUAGCCGGCCUGAGAGGGUGACCGGCCACAUUGGGACUGAGAUACGGCCCAGACUCCUACGGGAGGCAACAGUGGGGAAUAUUGCACAAUGGGCGGAAGCCUGAUGCAGCAACGCCGCGUGCGGGAUGACGGCCUUCGGGUUGUAAACCGCUUUCGCCUGUGACGAAGCGUGAGUGACGGUAAUGGGUAAAGAAGCACCGGCUAACUACGUG